rnacentral:rRNA from 1 species
CCCGCUGAACUUAAGCAUAUCACUAAGCGGAGGAAAAGAAAUCAACAAGGAUUGCCUCAGUAACGGCGAGUGAAGCGGCAAUAGCUCAAGUUUAGAAUCUGGGACCCUCUGUCAUCGCAUUGUGAUCUAUAGGGAAUAACAAAAGGGGAAGCAGAGGCAUAAGUUCCUUGGAAAAGGACGGCCAAGAGAGGUGAAAGAGCAGUCUGCAGCCUGCGCUGAACCGAAGGUUGGCUUUCUUACAGUCGGGUAGUGUGGGAUUGCAGCCCAAAACAGGAGAUAAACUUCGUUGAAGGCUAAAUAUCUAUGGAUAAACCGAUAGCGAACAAGUACUGUGAAGGAAAGAUGAAAAGAACUUUGAAGCGAGGGUUAAAAGACUUGAAAUCGUUGAGAAGGAAGCAGUAGAAGUGGAUUCUAUAUUAGUCAUGCAGCAAAGCAUGUAACGACCUGCUGAUAGUGGUACUGUUCUUCAUUGGCUGCCUACUAUUAAGUAAUGGCACUUUAUGGAGAUUUCAUGAUUAAGAAGCAGAACCAGGUCUAAGCUUGAAGGAAUCAGUAAGGUUGCAGUCCACAGCUCGGUGUCAGCCUCUUUACACAACUACAAGAUGCCCUGAGGAAACUUUUGAUGCUGCCACAACGGCUUCUACCGACCCGUCUUGAAACACGG